GGACGAACGCUGGCGGCGCGCCUAACACAUGCAAGUCGAACGAGAGAGAAGGAGCUUGCUUCUUCGAUCGAGUGGCGAACGGGUGAGUAACGCGUGAGGAACCUGCCUCAAAGAGGGGGACAACAGUUGGAAACGACUGCUAAUACCGCAUAAGCCCACAGGUCGGCAUCGACCAGAGGGAAAAGGAGCAAUCCGCUUUGAGAUGGCCUCGCGUCCGAUUAGCUAGUUGGUGAGGUAAUGGCCCACCAAGGCGACGAUCGGUAGCCGGACUGAGAGGUUGAACGGCCACAUUGGGACUGAGACACGGCCCAGACUCCUACGGGAGGCAGCAGUGGGGAAUAUUGCACAAUUGGGGAAACCCUGAUGCAGCGACGCCGCGUGGAGGAAGAAGGUCUUCGGAUUGUAAACUCCUGUUGUUGAGGAAGAUAAUGACGGUACUCAACAAGGAAGUGACGGCUAACUACGUGCCAGCAGCCGCGGUAAAACGUAGGUCACAAGCGUUGUCCGGAAUUACUGGGUGUAAAGGGAGCGCAGGCGGGAAGACAAGUUGGAAGUGAAAUCCAUGGGCUCAACCCAUGAACUGCUUUCAAAACUGUUUUUCUUGAGUAGUGCAGAGGUAGGCGGAAUUCCCGGUGUAGCGGUGGAAUGCGUAGAUAUCGGGAGGAACACCAGUGGCGAAGGCGGCCUACUGGGCACCAACUGACGCUGAGGCUCGAAAGUGUGGGUAGCAAACAGGAUUAGAUACCCUGGUAGUCCACACCGUAAACGAUGAUUACUAGGUGUUGGAGGAUUGACCCCUUCAGUGCCGCAGUUAACACAAUAAGUAAUCCACCUGGGGAGUACGACCGCAAGGUUGAAACUCAAAGGAAUUGACGGGGGCCCGCACAAGCAGUGGAGUAUGUGGUUUAAUUCGACGCAACGCGAAGAACCUUACCAAGUCUUGACAUCCUGCGACGGACAUAGAAAUAUGUCUUUCCUUCGGGACGCAGAGACAGGUGGUGCAUGGUUGUCGUCAGCUCGUGUCGUGAGAUGUUGGGUUAAGUCCCGCAACGAGCGCAACCCUUAUGGUCAGUUACUACCAAGAGGACUCUGGCCAGACUGCCGUUGACAAAACGGAGGAAGGUGGGGAUGACGUCAAAUCAUCAUGCCCUUUAUGACUUGGGCUACACACGUACUACAAUGGCGUUAAACAAAGAGAAGCAAGACCGCGAGGUGGAGCAAAACUCAGAAACAACGUCCCAGUUCGGACUGCAGGCUGCAACUCGCCUGCACGAAGUCGGAAUUGCUAGUAAUCGUGGAUCAGCAUGCCACGGUGAAUACGUUCCCGGGCCUUGUACACACCGCCCGUCACACCAUGAGAGCCGGGGGGACCCGAAGUCGGUAGUCUAACCGCAU
rnacentral:rRNA from 1 species